rnacentral:rRNA from 1 species
AUUGAACGCUGGCGGCAGGCCUAACACAUGCAAGUCGAACGAGUGGCGGACGGGUGAGUAAUGUCUGGGAAACUGCCUGAUGGAGGGGGAUAACUACUGGAAACGGUAGCUAAUACCGCAUACCAUCAGAUGUGCCCAGAUGGGAUUAGCUCGUUGGUGGGGUAACGGCUCCCCAAGGCGACGAUCCCUAGCUGGUCUGAGAGGAUGACCAGCCACACUGGAACUGGGACACGGUCCCAAAGCCUACGGGAGGCAGCCGGGGGGAAUAUUGGACAAUGGGGGCAAGCCUGGUGGAGCCAUGCGGGGUGUAUGAAGAAGGGCUUCGGGUUGUAAAGUACUUUUAGCGGGGGGGCGUUACCCGCAGGAGAAGGACCGGCUAACUCCGUGCCAGGCGCCGCGGUAAUUC